rnacentral:misc_RNA from 1 species
UUAAGUUCAGCGGGUAGUCCUACCUGAUUUGAGGUCAAAUUCAUCAAAAUUGUGUUUCCCACUCAUUAGAAGCAGCACAAUCUGUUUCAUGCAGCAUACCAAGGCAUAGAUAAUUAUCACACCUGUAGUAAGUAGCUCAGAUACCACUAAUACAUUUCAGGGGAGCCGACUUCAUAUUUACAAGAAGCCUGCAAAAAAUA